AUGAGGAUCGUCGGGGUUGCAAAGCCGGAGAGGAUGUCUUCCAUGGAGCGGGAGCCCAAGACGCUCUCCCUCGGCGAGCUCAAUUACGCCAGGGAAGCGGCGCUGUACGUGCUGACCACGCACUCCUCGCAGGACGCAGCCCGGAUCUUCACCGAGCGUAAUAACACGGCGUGCUGCACGCGUGAUAUUGUGCAGGGUCUGAAGCCGGUGCUCGGCGUCAGGAGGAACUCGACGGACUCUGACUCGGACGACGACGAGGAAGGGGACGUGUUUGAUCCGGACGCGCUCCUCGACGAUCACGACGUGCGCCGUCAUCGCCAGAUGCGACACACGUCCUUGUCCUCCCCUGCGCGCACAAUCGGGGCACGAUGUUCUCAUUUCUGCCUCCCCCUCCAAACCCUCCCGCCCUCUCGUUGCCUCCAUGGUGACCAUGCCGAAGCACGCCGUCCCGGCCGUGCCGCCGCCGCUCGCCCUGCGGCCCAGAAGAAGAAACCCAAGAAGGGGCUCAUGCCGGAGCAGCUCGCCCGAGAAACGGCCAAGAAGGUUGGCCGGAUGACCACUAAUGUGAACAGAAAAGCCGUGGUCCAGGCCACCCUCGACACGGCCACCGUGCAACACAAGGCCGCCGUUGAGGAUAACAAGGCCCUCGUCGCGAAGGCCACGCGGACAGUGACGCAGCAAGGCCUUCUCAUGCUAGGGUUCAGCCGACUCUUACCGGCCAUUCUUUCCGCCGGCAGCAUGGCCGCGACGAGCACCUACUCCCACCGGGAUGCAAAAGAAGAGGUCGUGGGAGAUUGCUAUGGCCAACCUUUGGAGGCCUGCAAGCUGCUCGACGGAAUGCCCAAUCCGACGCUGACGCAAGAUGACCCGGACUUUGACGAUUUCAUGGAGAGCAUCAUCUACAAGGAACGUGGCGAGGCCUUUCACCCUGAGCGCCAUGCCCAAGCCUUCGACCCCGACAAGAACCAAAGCCAAGAUGACCGCGGCCAAGAUGAUGGUGACGAGCACAUUGGCGGCCAUGACAACCAAGAAGGGGCCGACGACCAAGAUGAUACAUGGCAUGAAGACAUGCAUUAUGAAGAUGAAGAAGAUGGAGUAAACAUUGAGGAGGAGCCAUUAAUUAUUUAUCGACAAGCUCACCCUAAGAGCCAAUGCCCAAAAGAUGAGGCAAAGCAUUCGGACAGGAUCAUACACCAAAGACGAGGACAAGUUGAUUUGCGGAAGAUGGAAGAAAAUAGGGCAAGAUCCCGAGAGCGGCACCGAGCAAAAAGGUGUCCUGCUUGUAGGAAAUUUUGUGUCGUGCUUGAGAGCAUUGAAGUCGCCGCCAUGAAUGCAUUUCAAACUUUGGAAGCCUUCAAGGCCCAACAUGCAAACAAGCAAUUCAUCCUCAUCCAUUGUUGGACACUAAUCAAAGAUUGUCCCAAGUUAAAAGAUCAAUAUGCCGCCCUCAAGAAGAAUGGAGGGCUGGCGGCCGUUGUUGAGCAUGAAGGAGUGAAGCGGCCGAGUGGCAAGACCAACUCGAAGAGGAAGCGCCAAGAAAAGAAGAGCAAAUGGACGUCUACAUGGAACUACAAACGAAGAAGCUCAAAAUGGAGGAUGCCGUCAAAAGGAGGAAGCCCGAGAUCGAGGGGGAUCAUCCAAACAAAGAAGCUCGAGAUUGAGGUCAGCAAUGCAAACACCAAAGCAAAAGAGGCGGCACUAGCUUUCAUGACCAUGAACUUGAGCAAGAUGUUCCUGAAAAGAAGAGGAUGGUUUGAGAAGAAGCAAAAGGAAAUGCUCGAGUUAGAUGAUUGA
rnacentral:rRNA from 1 species